UACAGAGGGGGCCAGCGUUAUUCGGAAUUAUUGGGCGUAAAGAGCUCGUAGGCGGUUUGUCGCGUCUGCUGUGAAAACUCGGGGCUUAACUCCGGGCCUGCAGUGGGUACGGGCAGACUAGAGUGCGGUAGGGGAGACUGGAAUUCCUGGUGUAGCGGUGAAAUGCGCAGAUAUCAGGAGGAACACCGGUGGCGAAGGCGGGUCUCUGGGCCGUAACUGACGCUGAGGAGCGAAAGCGUGGGGAGCGAACAGG
rnacentral:rRNA from 1 species